ensembl:lncRNA
CCCUACAUAAAAUGGCUGUGAUAAAUAUUCAAAUUAAUCUACUCAUUCUUAAUACAUUUUUUAUGAGUAAUUAUUGAUUUCACCCCAGCUUUGACAGGGCUUUCUUAAAUCUUAAAAUUUAAACAUGAAGAAAAACUGUUCAUGUUUUUCUUCUUUGUCAUUCUGCUUUUCCAUAAAUACUGUAUGAAAACCAAAAAGCGGCACAAAAACUUAAAUGACACCAAAGCUCAAACAUGAUGCCUAUUAUCAGCAGUCCACUCUGAGCCAAAAAGCACCUCUAGAGUAGCAAUGCUGUAUUAUUUGGUGCUAUUUUCGUGUCAUUAGUGUAAUAAUGAUGUGUGCACGGUUUCCUCAGGGACGUGGUCUGGUUCGUCACACUGAACCUGAGGACACAGCCGAUGUCUCUGAGUAGCACUCUGAUGUUCCCAGUUUCUCCUCUCUCGCACAACAUUAAAAAGUCUGGAUAAAAGGUAAGGAAUAAGCUUUAUUAACUUUAAAAAUGCAUGAUGUUUCUGAGAAAAGUGCAGUACGGCAUCGAGAAACGUCCAAAAGCUUGACUACUUAUUUCUCCUUAUUUUUUUCCCUCUUCCUCUCUCCUUCUCAAAAAUUGUAAAUAAUUGAAAACAGAGAAGGGAAGGAAAGGGGGGAAAAGACACCAAGAUUCUGACACACUCUGCAUAAACAUCUCCUUAUUAGUGACCCUAGAUGCCCAGGGAGAUCACACACACGCAAGCGCCCUGCUGAGAGCUCAAAUGUCAGAGUGAACAGAGGGAGAACGCCUGUCUGCCAGCUCAUGAUACCCCGCUCUGUCAUUGGAGCGGUGUUUAUAUUCGAGGGGCUGACCGCAGGACGGCAAGCACUCAGAGGGGCCGCCUGACGCCACCGGUUCACUCAGCAGCCGAUGUCUUCAAGUUGGACACCGAGUGGUCCUCAAAUUUAGAUCAGGUUCCUUGUUUAGAUCACAGAGGGAAACUAUGGAACAUAAAGAUGGGAACGAAAGAGUGCAGGAGGGAAGUGUAGAGAAACAGGAGGCCUUGUGGAAGUGCUCGUCUUGAAGCAAAGUUUAAUUUGCUUCUUUGGAUGCGUUUUAAAGGUAGAUAAUAUCAGAUUUUUUUUUAACAUACACCAUGGUAAUAUCAGUGAACAUUUCUUAAAAUAACCAUUUUUUUCUUGAAGAGCAAAUAAAGAACUUUUUCUUAUUAUGAAGAGCCAUGGAUGUUAAAAGUUUUUUUUUUUUUAUGGAACCAUCAACACCAAUAAAGAAGCUUUGUUUUUAAGUGUGUGGCAACACACUAGUUCCUAAAUGGUUGGUAUUCAGAAUAAAUAUAAAUGUCCUUAAAAUCAAACUGUGUUAACCCUUUGAAUUACCCCUCUCUUUUGGGACCAAACCAGGAAAAUGUGUCUUAAACCCUCUGGAAUAUGCACACAGUUGUAUGUUUUGAAAAAAGACACUUGAAACUUUAUUUUGCAGUUUAAAGAGUUAACAGAAGUAAAAAUAAAUACAUGCAUACAUAAAAAAAUCUUAUCAAUAAAAAGUUUUAUCAAAAAUAAUAAAUGUGCA